rnacentral:misc_RNA from 1 species
GUGGGAGGGGGCUUGCCCCCGAUAGCGAUUUGUCAGUCAGUCCAUCUGAAACUGACACGCCGCUAUCGGGAGCAAGCCCCCUCCCAC